GUCAGAUUUCCAAAUCCCCUAAAUUUUUUUUCUGCACUUUAAACUGAGAAUUCACAAAUCAAUUACACUUGUAUUUAAUUGGGUUUUUGCAUUUUCUUCUACAAGCAGUGCUGCUAGCCAGUGAUUUUAAUUUCAAGAGAAACCACUUUUGGUGCAUUGCGAGACGAUACAAAGGUGACAUUAUCCAAAAGAUGCAUGGUCGAAGGAGAUGAGAAGGCUGGUAUGCUCAUGAAGCUGGAGAAGAAAUCCAAGAAAAGGAAAAAGAAUGCUGCCUCCAAUGAUUUGGAAGUGACAAAGGGCGAUUUUAAAGGAGGAAGUGAAGAUAGUGACAUCAAGAGAAAGAAAGAAAUAGGUGGCGGAAAACCGCCUGGGAAAUCAAGUAAAGACGGGUGCGAGGAUGCGGUUGAAAAAGUCGUAAAAAUGAAAAAAAAGUUGAAGAAAGAGCAGGAGACAUUGAUAAUGCAUGAUGCUAGUUUAGAUACCAAAACAAUUGCUCCUGAAAGUGUGAGUGGAACUCAGGAGACCAAUGCGGUUGAGACUCUCAGUGAGGGCUCUGGUGGAAAUGUUAUAGACGAAUCGAAGAGGAAGAAGAGGAAAAAGGAAAAGCGGAAAAAAGAGGAUGGACAGGUAGAUAUCGUGACUGGUGUAAUUCAAGGUCAUGUUUCAGCUAUAGAAGAGAUAGAAGAUAGCAAAAUAGAUGAUGCUAAUAUCAGAAAGAGGAAAAAGACAAAACUAGGACACAAUUGUAAAGAUCUUAUACAUGAAAAGACUGAAAAAAGAGUGAGAUUUUCUGAUCAUGUACAAUUUUUUCCUCCAACCAGUGAUCGAAUUGACGAGAAGCAUGAAAAUAACAAGGAAAAAUUACUGUUUGGCAAACAAUUCACAGAGGAAGAAGAUGAAAUAGUCAAAGACGCUGUUUAUAGAUACAUAGAGGUACAUAACUUGGGCGAAGACGGGUUGCAAAAGGUUAUAAAUUCUAUAUCCAAUCCUGAAGUAAGGGGCUGCUGGAAAGAGAUAGGGAAGGCUAUACCGUACAGGCCUUACAGAGCAGUUUAUUCUCGUGCACAACGUUUGUUUCGAGCGGGUGAGAAGCGUAAAUGGACUGAAGAAGAGUAUGAGAUGGUAAGAAAGUUCCGAGGACAACAUGGGCAUAACUGGACCGUUUUGGCCGAUGAACUUGGGAAACAUCCGGUUCACGUUGGAAAUGCAUGGCAUAGGAUAAAACUGGAAAAUCGGAAGAAAGGAAAUUGGGAUCAGGAGGAAAUCCAGAAACUGUUUGAUUUGGUAAACACCGACCUGCAACUGAAGCUCUGUGAAGAAAGGAAAUCUAAGCAUGGGAUGUUACGGGAUAAUAUUUGCUGGAGUGCAAUUAGUGACAGUUUGUCCACCAGGAUUUCUCCACAUUGCUGCAAUAAAUGGUACAGACAAUUAACAUCACCGAUGGUUGCUGCAGGUGAAUGGGCAGAUACUGAUGACUAUCGCUUAAUUGAUGCCCUUUUUGAACUUGAUGCGAGUUGCAUAGAGGACGUGGAUUGGGACAAUCUUCUUUUCCACAGGAUAGGAGAGUUAUGUCGAAAGAGAUGGAAAGAGAUGGUUCGUCAAAUAAGUCAACAUGAAAACAAGUCAUUUGCUGCACAAGUAGAAGUGUUAGCUAAGAGAUACCGCCCUGAUUUGGUUGGAGCAAGAGAGGCCUGGGAUAGAAAACCAGUUGUUCCAUGAGAUGUUCAUCACUCUGCAUGGACGUUUCUGCAGAGAGAGAUGCUUAAGGAACACGUAUAACGGUAAUGUAUCCGUUCACUUGUCAAUGGUCACAGCCUAGUGAUCAAUGGAGUGGGUUGAGAACCAUGAGAUCUUAGGUUCAAAUCCAAGCAGAAGCAAAAUGACUAGGUGAUUUCUUUCCAUUGGUUCAAGCCUUUGGUGAACAGAGUUAGCUGAUACAUGUGCUAGUGGGAGAUAGCAAGUGCCUCCCAAAAUUAGUCAGAGGUGGGAGAUUCAAUCUCGUAACUGUAGUCACUUAGUUACUAGGCUCUCUCCUGUAUGUUAAUGAGGCCCACUAAACUUGAUCUGAGCUAGUGUGGUUCUUCUCCUGUACGGGCUCACUCGCUCACUCAGUAGAAAUCCUACUAUUAAAAUUCAAAAAGUGAGGCAUUUUUCUCA